ACACAGCUGGGAUGUGGCAGAGCUGGGGUUCCAGCUCCUGUUCCCAUUGCUGGACAGCUGCCACAUCUGGCACCCAAUUUAGGACCCCGCGGGGAGGCCCAAGCCCCGGGGGUGGCGGGGGAUCCUAGAGGAAAGUGGCAAGGCCAGGACCCUGGAGCAGAGCCAGAGUAGAAAACUGAGGCUCUGAGAGAUGAAGCUACUUGCCAAGGUCACGCAGCACAGUCACAUCCUACUGAACAUCAUCCUGUUCUCUGGGUGGAAUGUCACCAUCGCCCAGGUGGGGAUUUUUGUGUGUUUUGUUCACUGCUGUACACCCAGCCCCCAGCACAGCGCCUGUCCAGGACAAGUGCCCAGUAAACACUUGGGAAGCAAUGCAAGCGUCCUCCCAGCAGCUCCUGCAAACAGACCCCCGACCCAAGCCCUUCCUUCUGCCUCCACUGCCACCACUGCUGCUCAUCUCUGCUGGCACAGAAGUCUCUUCCCUGGUCUUCCAGAAAUCCCCUCUCCACACUCAGCCAGAGGGAGCUAUUAAAACUGUGGGCCAGCCCACAUCAGUCCACAGCAAAGUCCUCUCUAAGGGAUCUCUGUUGCUUGGAGAAUAAACCCUCGGAUUCCUUCCUUGGCUCUCGGGGCCUCCUCUCUGACCUCCCUCUGUCUCCUCUCCCAGCCUUCCUCCUCACUCACCCUCCAGCCAUGCUGGCUUCCUCCUUGCUCCUGAAACAGCCUGAGGCCCACACUGCCCCGGGCCCUUUGCACUGGCUGUUUCCUCUGCCUGGAACACUUCUCCUAGGCAUCCACAGGGCUCCCUCCCACAACUCCUUCGGGUGCCCACAUGGGAAGCCAUCCCUGACCACCCCCCCGACUUCCUUCUGAGCAAGGUAGGGUCUUUCUACCUAGUCAUGAGGGCAGGGAUUUUUGUCUGUUGUGUUCUCUGUGUGCCCCCAGUGCCAUCCCAGUGCCUGGCAGAUGGUAAGUGCUCGACACACAUUGGCUGACUGCCUGAAUGAACAACUCUAUGAGCCGAUGGCAGAUAAGGACACUGAGGUCCUCUGGGGUAGGUGACCAGCCCAAGGCCACACAGCUGGUCUGAGAUUAGGCCAGGAGAGGAGCCCGGGUUGGUCACAUCCUGGAGUUGGCGUCUUGGAAACUGCAUCAGGAGAAUAACAAAGAUGAGACGCAGGCUCUAACAAGUGGAUACCAGUGACUCUCGCCCCGCCAGCCCCAGCCCUGCAGCCUUGGGCCCUUCCAGGAGUCAUGGUCUGCCUGCCUGGGGCAUUCCAGGCUUCGACCCAGGUCCUGCACUUUCUAUUUUGAGCCUCUUAGUCCUGAGGACUGUGUGUUCCCAGCAGGCGGCGCGGGCCAGAGGCUGAGCCUGGGUGUGGCUGUCACCCUAUCUGGGGCCAGAGACCCAGAUUCCCGGGCCCUUAACCUGUUGGCUGCUGAGGGCUCUGGCAUAAGCCCUGUUCCCUGCUUGAUUGUCUCCCCUUCAAGCCCCUGCCCUGGUAUCGUAUCGGCCCAUCUCACCUUGGAUUAUAUCCCUGUUUGGCCCCAUUUGAAUCCUGGCUCUGCCCCUUUCCAGCAAUGUGACCUUGGGCAAGUCACUUCAUCUCUCUGGGUCUCAGUUUCUUCAUCUGGGAAAUGGGGACAAUAAGAGUACCUGUCUCUGGCCAUGUGUGGUGACUCAUGCCUGUAACCCCAGCGCUUUGGGAAGCCGAGGCGAGAGAAUUGCUUGAGACCAGGAGUUUGAGAUCAGCCCUGGGCAACAUAGUGAGACCCCUGUCUCUACAAAAUUCUAAAAAAAUUAGCCGGGUGUGGUGGUGUGUGCCUGUAGUCCCAGCUAUUCUAGAGGCUGAGGCGGGAGGAUUGCUUGAGCCCAGGAGUUUGAGGCUGCAGUGAGCUAUGAUUAUGCCCCUGCACAUCAGCCUGGGUGAUAGAUUGAGGCCCCAUCUCUAAAAAUAACAAUACUAAUAAUAAAUAAAAAUGAAAAUGAGUACCUGU
rnacentral:lncRNA from 1 species